GCGCAUGUGGUGUAGUGGUUUGCAUGGUCGCCUCCCAAGCGAUCGGCCCGGGUUCGAACCCCGGCAUGCGCA